rnacentral:rRNA from 1 species
GUGGAUUAGAUACCCUGGUAGUCCACGCCGUAAACGAUGGAUACUAGCUGUUGGAGGUAUCGACCCCUUCAGUAGCGAAGCUAACGCGUUAAGUAUCCCGCCUGUGGAGUACGGUCGCAAGACUAAAACAUAAAGGAAUUGACGGGGACCCGCACAAGCGGUGGAGCGUGUUCUUUAAUUCGAUGAUAAACGAAGAACCUUACCAGGGCUUGACAUCCCUUGAAUUUUGUCGAAAGACGAGAGUGCUUUAUUGAGCAAGGUGACAGGUGUUGCACGGUCGUCGCCAGCU